rnacentral:rRNA from 1 species
GAUGAACGCUAGCGGCAGGCCUAACACAUGCAAGUCGAGGGGUAACAGAAUAGCUUGCUAUUGCUGACGACCGGCGCACGGGUGCGUAACGCGUAUACAAUCUACCUUAUACAGGAGGAUAGCCCUAAGAAAUUGGGAUUAAUACUCCAUAGUAAUUUGAAUUCGCAUGAAUUAGUUAAACUCGGUGUAUAAGAUGAGUAUGCGUGAU